AUCUGGUCAAAAAGAUGAUGACAUUGUUGCCGCCUGUAGCAUCGAAUGCAAUCGAAGCCAGCGAGCAUUUGGCCUCCCUUGAUAAAAAAAAGUAUACAAUUACAGCCAAUCAGUGUUGAGGUAAACUGAGUGAGCCCAACUGGGAAUGGUCCUGGCGCACCAAAAAUAAGUGUCAUGGGAAGCCAGUUUGGAUUUGGCUUCACACCAAUCCCAUCAUAUUGAGAGCAAUAUGUCAUUGACAGAAACAACUUAAAUUGUUGCAUCUCAUUGUCCUCCAGUGGUUAGCUAUCUAGCUAAAAUUGUCCCUUUCCUAAAUUAGCCAUGGAUGGCGAUAGGGAUUUAGACUUGUGGUUUUACUUAAUUCUCUGUACUCACCAAUGAUUAUAAUGGCGAUUCUGAUCCAACCAUAAAUUCAUACAUUGUGCUCUUGGCCUGAGAGGAUGGAAGUUCAAUAUGUAGGUAGAUGUAGUAGGUUAAUAUUAACUAGCUAACGUUGCCCAUGAAAGGAAGUUAGGCUAGCGAGCAAGCAUUUUAGCCAGGUAGCCCAGGACAACAAAAAAUACAAGCGUGUAGGCUACUGUAUGUAUGAAAGAGAGGAGGAGGGCAUUGACGUUUCUCUACAAGUAGGGCAUCUUCUUGAAUACCACACCUAUAAUCACAGCCAAUGAGAGGUGCACAAUGCAAUGUUCCAAAGCCAUCAGCAGAGGGCGCCAGAGUACUCAUUUAGUCCCUGAAGACUUCCAUCCAGUUGGAAUGUGCAAUAUGGAGGGGAACCAAGAAGACGUCAUGUCGCAAGGUGAAUGAACCACAAGACAAAGGUGUUUUGAGGAGGACAGGACACACGGGACACAGCUAUUGUCAAUGGUCAUUUGAUUAAAUUCACUAUCAGUAGCAACCAUUUGUAUUCACAGAGACUGAAGAUAAAUGUACAAGGCCUGUAACAUGGAGGCACUUCAAUGACGGGGCACUGAAAUGUGACUUUGGCUCAUAGCAUCUUGUAGCAUGUUUCCACCAUGGACUAGACUUCCAGAACAAUAGGCAGCACAACAUA
rnacentral:lncRNA from 1 species